GGAAGCAGAAAUUGGCAGAACACGUGUUCGUCAAAAAGCUCUAGAAUAUUUAGUUGCAGGUAGAUCUGUUCGGGAUUUAGUUGUUGAGCGAACCUUGUAUUGCAACGGAGAUUUGUUAGUGAACGUGUUAUCUCUGCUCUAUAAGGUGUCCGGCCGCCAUCCCCUAUUCACGUGCUUUUGUGUAUUGGAGAACCUGCUCAGCAAGCUGCAGUCUGCAACUUCUGCGGGAGGUAUGUUUAAUUCAAAUCCAGUACUGUUGCAUUUCAGCAAAAGCACAAGGGUGAAAGUCUUUGGUCCCCUUCAACUCCUGAGCAACAACAGCAGCAGUGGCAUCUUCCCCUUCUUUCCCCUAAGGCUGUAGCUGCUCCAAACAAAGUUUGAGGCCACAGAGCGCAACACCCUCCUCACACACUCCCCAGGAUUGGACCCCCCAACUAGGCUCAGAUGGGAAAUCUAAGGAAAUCAAACAACCAUGGUUAAGGCAAGUAUUUGCAUUGUAUUUUUCAUGUGGUGUUGGUGGUGUUUUCUUUUGAGGGGGGCGAACCAAAUUAAGGUAUUUGAAGAUGGACUGCUCAUCUCUAAGUACUUAGCUAACAACAGGGAACUAAAGAUGAAAAAAGCUCAAUGGCAGGGCCAUGUGGCACACUUGGUGGCAUGUGUACAACAUAGCCUAAAGUCACUUCACCAUUACUCGUACAUUUACCAUUUUUUUUGUGAAAUCUCUAUUUUUAAGGUGCUCCUCGAGUUCCUGUAGUUCGGCCUGAGUUUGCGCCUGCAGUAACUCGACACUAGCUUCCCCAGGGUCCCCAUGUCGAUUUGCCCGUAGCAAUAAUAGAGCCUCUCUCUGAUUCUGCUCAACAGUCUCAAGCUUUCGGAGCAGAACCUCCAAUGUCGCUGUAAAAAAAUAUGUUGAGAUGAGAGGAGUGUAUUCAGUAGAAGUUGGUGUCAUUUGCAUACAGUGCAAUACAGUUCAAUACAUGUAUUACCGUUGAUAUUCUUUGCCCAGAUUGGUAUGGUUUCUCUCUCUCUUCGGUCACCUAAGUAAUGUGUCUAAAGCAUAAUAUGUAGGGUUAGUAUAGACAGAUGACUGUCAUAACCUUUUGAUAAGAGUUACUAUUUUGGUUUUAACCACCAUCUCCACCCGCCACUUUACCGUCCCCAGUAGAGAUAGGCAAUGGCGUUUCAAAUGAAGAUGCGAUCGAAUCAUCUGCAGAAAGUACAAAAAAAUAAUUCAAUGUAAUUUUUUUGGUUUCAAACUCUUUGUUGUCUUGGCUCAUAGAAUUACUGUUAUGUCAUCAUCAUUCGUCAUCAUUACCAUACAUAACUUUACCAUCAUUUUCUGUAAAAACGUCUCUUGCCGGUGAAGGAGGGGAGUAAUCUACAGAAAGAACAAGAUAAGAAUUUAGGUUAUGUUUUUUUGUUUCGAACCAUAGUGUCUUCUUGACUUCUAUACAAUUAUUUGUAUUUGUUUUUAACCAUCAUUCCCUUGCAAAACGUUACCGUCAGUCACAGGGGGUGAAGAUAUUUGUAGUGGGCUACGCCGUGGAAUGGGGGAUUCUAUCUGGGGUGGAGGAGGAAGGGAAGUCCUGAAAUGUGGACCUUGUCCUGCCUUUUUCCCAUUUUGUUUCUUUGUUUUCUUUUCACCUGAACAGAAUCAUAUUAGCCGAAAGUAAAUAACAGUGUUACAUGUUUACACAUUGUUUAGAAUUGCUGCUUGCACUUUUAACACUAAGUUAAUACAGUACACAAGGAUGUGCAGAUAUACCGGUGUGAAUACAUUUUUGGGGUUUGACGAUGAUGCGCCUCCCAUUGUCCUAAUUUCCUGUCUCCACACAGGACUUUGUCUCCGCCCUCUUGUUCCUCCUGACGGCCUGAUCCCAAUCAUCUAAACAGUCAGGUGGUUUGGGUGACGUCUUGGACAGCCAGAAAAGCCAGGCAAGGCACUUCAAGACACUGCAAGAGAUGUGCCGGUCCAAGAAGCCAAACAAAGCUUCAGUAACCCAUUUGCUGAACUUGGAGUUUCAGGCGAGAAGACGCUUUAUAACCUCUGACACACUAGAGAGCAAGACCGACCCAGCAAGAUUCUGGAGGCAUAUUCCUGUUUCAAAGACUUGGAUCAUGUCUUAGAUGAGUUGCAAAGGAUAAUACAGCCAAACAAUGCCCACUACAUCUCGGAGAUGAGGAAGAGAUGGGACGACUUUUAUUCAAAGGUCCAAUUUUAUGGGGUGAUGAAGAAAGUGAUGAAACCCCCUAAAACGUUGGAUGGAGUGGAACAUGCCGCUGCUGUGUUCAGAACCCUGCCACUGCUCUUCCCAUCCAGCACUAUGCCACCAAAGAAGCUGGGAGCAAGCAGCGAGGCUGUUUUCCAUGUCCUUACGGCUUCAGAAGACCCUGAUGCAUACUUGCGCCAGCGACCCCUGUCCUGUCCAGUUUUGCUCGUCUAUGAGGAUAACUGCAUGAUCGCCAUUGGAAACACACCAGUGACCACCUUUGACAGGAAGAAGUUUCAUGAAGGCCUGCUCUACCUCUUGGGGUAUUACUAUUGCCUGCACCUCACUUAUCCAAAGUUCAUUGCCACGCUGCUCUCAGUAUUGCAAACUGAGGUUCUCCAGGACUCCCUCCAUGACCGAGAUUUAACUGCUUCCUACAAAAAAGCCAUUGCCGAGUGGAGGUCCUUCAUUGAGUGAUUGACUAUUGAUAUCUCUAACUAAAAAAACAACUCAGUUUGAGAGUCAGGCCCAUGUUAGCCACGUGUUUGCUGAGGUCCUUCAUUGAAUAUGUUACUGUUUGAGGAAGACCCGUGUUAAUGACAUGUUUGUUUCUGUCAAAUAUUCAAAACAGCAGCUGGAAGUGUUUUGUUGUGUUUUUAUUAUUUUAGUUUUUACAUUGUUUGAAUAGCUGCAUAUUUUCUCAAAUCUCUUA